UACAGAGGUCCCAAGCGUUGUUCGGAUUCACUGGGCGUAAAGGGGUGCGUAGGCGGUCGGGUAAGUCUGACGGUGAAAUCCCGCAGCUCAACUGCGGAACUGCGUCGGAUACUAUUCGGCUUGAGGAAUGGAGGGGAGACUGGAAUUCUCGGUGUAGCAGUGAAAUGCGUAGAUAUCGAGAGGAACACCAGUGGCGAAGGCGAGUCUCUGGACAUUUCCUGACGCUGAGGCACGAAAGCCAGGGGAGCAAACGGG
rnacentral:rRNA from 1 species